AGAUGUCCCUGCAGGAGAUGCAUCUGUCCGCUCCCCACUCAUUUCAUCUCAUCUGAACAGAUCUCAUCUGAACAGAUCUCAUCUCAUCAGAACAGAACUCAUCUCAUCUUAUCCCUCCACACCCACACCCCACUACACCACCACACCCCACUACACCACCUCCACACUACACCACCUCCACACUACACCACCUCCACACACCACCACCACACACCACUACACCACCUCCACACGCCUCCACACACCACUACACCACCUCCACACACCACUACACCACCUCCACACACCACUACACCACCUCCACACGCCUCCACACACCACUACACCACCUCCACACACCACUACACCACCACCACACACCACCACACACCUCCACACGCCUCCACACCCCACUACACCACCUCCACACCCCACUACAACACCUCCACACGCCUCCACACCCCACUACACCACCUCCACACACCACUACACACCUCCACACCCCACUACACCACCUCCACACGCCUCCACACACCACUACACCACCUCCACACACCACUACACCACCUCCACACACCACCACACACCUCCACACGCCUCCACACCCCACUACACCCCCCUCCACACCCCACUACACACCUCCACACAACCACUACACCACCUCCACACCCCACUACAACACCUCCACACGCCUCCACCACCACUACACCACCUCCACACACCUCCACACACCACUACACCACCUCCACACGCCUCCACACCCACUACACCACCUCCACACACCACUACACACCUCCACACACCACUACACCACCUCCACACACCACUACACCACCUCCACACACCACUACACCACCUCCACACCCCACUACACCACCUCCACACCCCACUACACCACCUCCACACACCACUACACCACCUCCACACACCACUACACCACCUCCACACACCACUACACCACCUCCACACACCACUACACACCUCCACACACCACUACACACCUCCACACACCACCUCCACACACCACUACACCACCUCCACACGCCUCCACACACCACUACACCACCUCCACACCCCUCCACACGCCUCCACACACCACUACACCACCUCCACACCCCCACUACAACACCUCCACACGCCUCCACACCCCACUACACCACCUCCACACACCACUACACACCUCCACACACCACUACACCACCUCCACACCCCACUACACCACCUCCACACGCCACCACACACCACUACACACCUCCACACACCACUACACCCCACUACACACCUCCACACACCACUACACCACCUCCACACCCCACUACAACACCUCCACACGCCUCCACACACCACUACACCACCUCCACACGCCUCCACACACCACUACACCACCUCCACACACCACUACACCACCUCCACACACCACUACACACCUCCACACACCACUACACCACUCCACACACCUCCACACACCACUACACCACCUCCACACACCACUACACCACCUCCACACGCCUCCACACACCACUACACCACCUCCACACACCACUACACCACCUCCACACACCUCCACACACCACCUCCACACCCCACUACACCACCUCCACACACCACUACACCACCUCCACACACCACCACACACCACCUCCACACACCACUACACCACCUCCACACACCACUACACACCUCCACACACCUCCACACCCCCUACACCACCUCCACACCCCACCACACACCUCCACACACCACUACACCACCUCCACACCCCACCACACACCACCACAAAACAUACAUGAUGUACUUUUGAGUACAAAACCACAAAACAUACAUGAUGUACUUUUAUAUGGAUCUGGAUAG
ensembl:lncRNA